CUACGGAGGGUGCAAGCGUUAAUCGGAAUUACUGGGCGUAAAGCGUACGUAGGCGGUUAUUUAAGUCAGAUGUGAAAGCCCCGGGCUUAACUUGGGAACUGCAUUUGAAACUGGGUAACUAGAGUUUAGUAGAGGGGAGUGGAAUUUCAGGUGUAGCGGUGAAAUGCGUAGAGAUCUGAAGGAACACCAGUGGCGAAGGCGACUCCCUGGACUAAAACUGACGCUGAGGUACGAAAGCGUGGGUAGCAAACAGGAUUAGAAACCCUAGUAGUCC
rnacentral:rRNA from 1 species